UAGACGCUACGGACUUAAAAUCCGUCGACUUUAAAAAUCGUGAGGGUUCAAGUCCCUCUAUCCCCA
rnacentral:tRNA from 3 species